rnacentral:misc_RNA from 1 species
ACAAGAUUUAUCAGGAUAACCUAGAAGCUAGUGUCUCUGUUCUGAAAAAACUUUCUGAUGACUGGAAAACGCAUUCUCUAAAACUAGCUCCAUUUGAUGCUUUGAGAGAGACACUAAAAAGUUUCAGAAUCAAGAACGAGAAGGCAUUGGCUAGUGAAGAAGAGGACGGACGCCAAUCAAUAUACAAGGAGGCAGACAAGUAUGCUAAGGCAAUACUGAACAGGGUUUCACGAGGCCAUGGAUGUCUGAAAAGUAUGGCUUUUAUCGUUAUCGCUCUAGGUGUUGGUGCUGCAGUCAUGUCCCCAAACAUCGAGUCUUUGGAUUGGGAGAAACUCACUGCUUUCAUCCCACAACACUCUUUCUGAGUUGGCCUUCCUGCACUGUCAGCCAACCGUUUCGAAUUUCGACAUAUUUCCCCUCCGAUGAAGCCAAACUUGGGUCAUUCCUGGGGCAGGGAAACAAAAAAAGAAAUCCUCUG